rnacentral:rRNA from 1 species
AUUGAACGCUGGCGGCAGGCCUAACACGUGCAAGUCGAGCGGAUGAAGGGAGCUUGCUCCUGGAUUCAGCGGCGGACGGGUGAGUAAUGCCUAGGAAUCUGCCUGGUAGUGGGGGAUAACGUCCGGAAACGGGCGCUAAUACCGCAUACGUCCUGAGGGAGAAAGUGGGGGAUCUUCGGACCUCACGCUAUCAGAUGAGCCUAGGUCGGAUUAGCUAGUUGGUGGGGUAGAGGCCUACCAAGGCGACGAUCCGUAACUGGUCUGAGAGGAUGAUCAGUCACACUGGAACUGAGACACGGUCCAGACUCCUACGGGAGGCAGCAGUGGGGAAUAUUGGACAAUGGGCGAAAGCCUGAUCCAGCCAUGCCGCGUGUGUGAAGAAGGUCUUCGGAUUGUAAAGCACUUUAAGUUGGGAGGAAGGGCAGUAAGUUAAUACCUUGCUGUUUUGACGUUACCAACAGAAUAAGCACCGGCUAACUUCGUG